GUAAAGGAAAUAGCAUCUGAAGCCCCUGCGUUGCAAGAAGGAUGACCUCUGACCUGUCUCCUUCCCAAAAUUUUAAGCAGCAGCCAGGACUAAUAGACUACACAUGGGAAUGGAAACCAGGAUUUCUAAUAAUUGACUCUGCCAUGAAUUCUUGGGGUUUAAUGACAACUCAAGAUGACAUGCAGCGGAGAAUCAGCCCAACAAGAUUUUCACAUGUACAUUGUCAUUCCAUUUAUAUUUUGUGCCAGUUUUGUUUGAAUAUUUGAAUAAUAAUUUACUUAUAAGGAGAAUAUUCUGGAGAGACAUAGCUGAGCAAGUGGACAUGGAAUGCUAAAGCGAGAGCAGAUGCUUUUCCUUGGAGAGCAAGUUGAGAAAGGCACCCGAUCAUACUUACAUUAAAUCUUACCUCCUGAGACUGUGAGUGAUGAGGCCCAUAUCCUUGAUGAGGCAAUCAUCCAUCCCUGUGUCAUAAAAUAAAGCAGCAAAUAUGUCCAAUACCGCAAAAGAAAAUCAGUGCAGCUCCACAGUCUUUUGCCGAAUGCCUCAGUGACUUUCAUUCAAAACAAAUAGAAUUCAUUAAUCUGCCCAGUGAACUUGCUGAUGAACCUACAAAACAAAUCUCAUCUAGUC